rnacentral:RNase_P_RNA from 1 species
UUCGAGCAGGGGAUGGCCGCGCGGCCCGGUUCAGCCGGGAGUGAGGAAAGUCGGACACCUGGGAACCUGAAGGUCAGAGAAAUCUGGAGAUAUGGAAAGUGCCACAGAAAAUAAACCGCCCCGCGCUACUUUUCGAUGAAAAGUGAUGCGAGGUAAGGGUGAAAAGGCGGGGUAAGAGCCCACCGCGUUGUUUGAAAAAAUAACGGCAUGGCAAACCCCCUUCGGUGCAAUUUCAAGCAGCUCUCGUUUGGUUCCCCGUUCGGUAUGUAUAUGCAUACUGGAAGGGAGCGGGUAGAAAGCAAAGAGGCAGACAGUAUAAUGUUUGUCCAAGAUAAAUGGUCAUCGUCCAUUGUAUGAAUGUGCAAUGGGAACAGAAUCCGGCUUACACCUGCUCAAUUUUU